ACGAAUAUAAGCGAGUGCACAAUAUGGAAUUGUCACACCUGAGCGAAGGUGAUCGUCACUAUUAUGGUCUGAUUGUAUUUUGGACUUAUGAAAUCGUUGGCCAAGGUUGAGGUAGAUUGGAAAAUAGAUUUUCAGAGAAUCUACCAAAGGUCCUAGUAAUAAUAAGAUAUUUAGGAGUUGAGGUAUUAUCUAGGGUUGACACGUAUCCUUACCGUAGACCACAAUCGUUGUGAAGGCGAUGAUCAGUAGCUUGUCCGAGAGGAUGAUCAGCCACACUGGGACUGAGACACGGCCCAGACUCCUACGGGAGGCAGCAGUUGGGAAUUUUCCGCAAUGGCCAAAAGCCUGACCAU
rnacentral:ncRNA from 1 species